GAUGAACGCUGGCGGCGUGCCUAAUACAUGCAAGUCGAGCGAAUGGAUUAAGAGCUUGCUCUUAUGAAGUUAGCGGCGGACGGGUGAGUAACACGUGGGGAACCUGCCCAUAAGACUGGGAUAACUCCGGGAAACCGGGGCUAAUACCGGAUAACAUUUUGAACCGCAUGGAUCGAAAGUGAAAGGCGGCUUCGGCUGUCACUUACGGAUGGACCCGGGUCGCAUUAGCUAGUUGGUGAGGUAACGGCGCAACAAGGCAACGAUGCGUAGCCGACCUGAGAGGGUGAUCGGCCACACUGGGACUGAGACACGGCCCAGACUCCUACGGGAGGCAGCAGUAGGGAAUCUUCCGCAAUGGACGAAAGUCUGACGGAGCAACGCCGCGUGAGUGAUGAAGGCCUUCGGGUCGUAAAACUCUGUUGUUAGGGAAGAACAAGUGCUAGUUGAAUAAGCUGGCACCUUGACGGUACCUAACCAGAAAGCCACGGCUAACUACGUGCCAGCAGCCGCCGUAA
rnacentral:rRNA from 1 species